GGCUUGUGAUAAUGUUUGUCUAUAAAGGAGGAAUGGUCUUUCAUCUUCUUCAAGCAUUAAAACUCCCCUGGAGAGGGCAUUCAUGGCAGCCUCAUUUCCUAGGAGUUGCUGCCUUUUGUCAGAUAAAAGAAGCUCCCAGGAGUCUUUUCUCUGCAUUUGUUAAAUUUCAAAUGUCUCCAGCUUAAAGUAAUCUUUAUGCCAACUCCGGAAUUCGGAGGACGUCCUGACACCACAUUUCUAGUGCCCAACAGUGGCUACCGUAUUGGAUUGCGCAGGUGCAGAAUCACCAGAUCGCGGAGUCGCAGGGCUGCACAGCCCUGGAGGUCCCAGCAAGCACCCCUCUGCUGCCUCUCUGACCAGCGUUGGCCUGCACUCUGAGGGUCUCCCAAGCGCAGAGUGCCCAGCCUCCUUGAAGCAAGCUGUGAGGUGGAAGCUGUCAUCUUGAGCUGAAAUCGCCCUCCUGGCUGUGCAUCUCAGUAUCUUUUCCAAUCCGCUGGGGCAGGGCGGGGGCAGGCAGGAACUGUGUUUCAUUUCACCCAGAGGGUCAGUGUCCUGCAGCACGCGGGGGGAGGGGCUGCUCACGCACUACAAAGUCCUGCUUGCUCUGCAAGGCGGUGUCUUCUCCGAGGCCUUGGGAGGAAGAGCCAGCGUUUUGGGGACAACCUUUGCGAACACUCACCACCCCUCCAGAGCAGAAAGCCUGGUCCGACUUCCAGCCCACCUCCGCCACCGGCCUGGGCUCUGGGGAUCUCUCCUCCCCCAGUUGGGAGAGGCCUUUCCUGUGUGGCGGUGGCACAGCUCCCACUCUCGAUCGAACCGGUUCCAACCAAGUCCCAGGGGCGUCUGGAGAAAUCUUGGAGACCUUCCUGUCCAAGCCACCUGGGGAGGGUGGUGCCUGGCCAGCCUCUGCUCCUUGGCCAUAACAUCAGUGACCUGCGCUUGCACCUUGAGAAUAAAGGACAGCAGUCAUCCCUGAUCUGAAGGGGAUACAUUCCAAUGGAUGCCUGAAACCAAAUCCUAAGCCUGGGAGGCAGUAUGACCCACAAAAAGAGCAAGGGCUUGGAGACGGCACAGCUUCCCCACUUAAAAGCUGUGUGACCUUCAGAAAG